GACGAACGCUGGCGGCGUGCUUAACACAUGCAAGUCGAACGAUGAUGCCCAGCUUGCUGGGCGGAUUAGUGGCGAACGGGUGAGUAACACGUGAGUAACCUGCCCUUGACUUCGGGAUAACUCCGGGAAACCGGGGCUAAUACCGGAUAUGAGCCGUCCUCGCAUGGGGGUGGUUGGAAAGUUUUUCGGUCAGGGAUGGGCCCGCGGCCUAUCAGCUUGUUGGUGGGGUGAUGGCCUACCAAGGCGACGACGGGUAGCCGGCCUGAGAGGGCGACCGGCCACACUGGGACUGAGACACGGCCCAGACUCCUACGGGAGGCAGCAGUGGGGAAUAUUGCACAAUGGGCGAAAGCCUGAUGCAGCGACGCCGCGUGAGGGAUGAAGGCCUUCGGGUUGUAAACCUCUUUCAGCAGGGAAGAAGCGCAAGUGACGGUACCUGCAGAAGAAGCGCCGGCUAACUACGUGCCAGCAGCCGCGGUAAUACGUAGGGCGCAAGCGUUGUCCGGAAUUAUUGGGCGUAAAGAGCUCGUAGGCGGUUUGUCGCGUCUGGUGUGAAAACUCGAGGCUCAACCUCGAGCUUGCAUCGGGUACGGGCAGACUAGAGUGCGGUAGGGGAGACUGGAAUUCCUGGUGUAGCGGUGGAAUGCGCAGAUAUCAGGAGGAACACCGAUGGCGAAGGCAGGUCUCUGGGCCGCAACUGACGCUGAGGAGCGAAAGCAUGGGGAGCGAACAGG
rnacentral:rRNA from 1 species